GAUGAACGCUGGCGGCGUGCCUAAUACAUGCAAGUCGAGCGAACAGACGAGGAGCUUGCUCCUCUGACGUUAGCGGCGGACGGGUGAGUAACACGUGGAUAACCUACCUAUAAGACUGGGAUAACUUCGGGAAACCGGAGCUAAUACCGGAUAAUAUAUUGAACCGCAUGGUUCAAUAGUGAAAGACGGUUUUGCUGUCACUUAUAGAUGGAUCCGCGCCUCAUUAGCUAGUUGGUAAGGUAACGGCUUACCAAGGCGACGAUGCGUAGCCGACCUGAGAGGGUCUCCACCCACACUGGAACGGAGACACGGUCCAGACCCCUACGGGACGCAGCAGUAGGGAAUCUUCCGCAAUGGGCGAACGCCUGACGGAGCAACGCCGCGUGAGUGAUGAAGGUCUUCGGAUCGUAAAACUCUGUUAUUAGGGAAGAACAAAUGUGUAAGUAACUAUGCACGUCUUGACGGUACCUAAUCAGAAAGCCACGGCUAACUACGUG
rnacentral:rRNA from 1 species